CCUACGGGUGGCAGCAGUGGGGAAUAUUGCACAAUGGGCGCAAGCCUGAUGCAGCGACGCCGCGUGAGGGAUGACGGCCUUCGGGUUGUAAACCUCUUUCAGCAUCGAAGAAGCGAAAGUGACGGUAGGUGCAGAAGAAGCGCCGGCUAACUACGUGCCAGCAGCCGCGGUAAUACGUAGGGCGCGAGCGUUGUCCGGAAUUAUUGGGCGUAAAGAGCUUGUAGGCGGUUUGUCGCGUCUGCUGUGAAAGCCCGGGGCUUAACCCCGGGUUUGCAGUGGGUACGGGCUAACUAGAGUGCAGUAGGGGAGACUGGAAUUCCUGGUGUAGCGGUGGAAUGCGCAGAUAUCAGGAGGAACACCGAUGGCGAAGGCAGGUCUCUGGGCUGUAACUGACGCUGAGAAGCGAAAGCAUGGGGAGCAAACAGGAUUAGAUACCCUAG
rnacentral:rRNA from 1 species